CGAACGCUGGCGGCGGGCUUAAUACAUGCAAGUCGAACGAGAAAGCCUGGCUUCGGCCGGGCAAGUAAAGUGGCGAACGGGUGAGUAACACGUGGGCAAUCUGCCCUUAAGUUUGGGAUAAGCCUUCGAAAGGGGGUCUAAUACCGGAUAAUAUCCGAGAAUGGCAUCGUUUUCGGAUCAAAGGUGGAGCAAUCUGCCGCUUGAGGAUGAGCCCGCGUCCCAUUAGCUUGUUGGUGAGGUAACGGCCCACCAAGGCUGUGAUGGGUAGCCGGCCUGAGAGGGUGAUCGGCCACACUGGGACUGAGAUACGGCCCAGACUCCUACGGGAGGCAGCAGUAGGGAAUAUUGCGCAAUGGACGAAAGUCUGACGCAGCCACGCCGCGUGGAUGACGAAGCUUUUUGGAGUGUAAAAUCCUGUCAGUGGGGAAGAACCGGUAGGGGAGUAACUGCCCCUGCCCUGACGGUACCCACAGAGGAAGUUCCGGCUAACUCC
rnacentral:rRNA from 1 species